UCAGAGGUUCACAACUUGGCUUCUAGGC
rnacentral:piRNA from 2 species